rnacentral:rRNA from 1 species
CAUGGCUCAGGAUGAACGCUAGCUACAGGCUUAACACAUGCAAGUCGCGGGGCAGCAUGGGGGUUGCUUGCAACCCCCGAUGGCGACCGGCGCACGGGUGAGUAACGCGUAUCCAACCUGCCCUUCACCACGGGAUAACCCGGCGAAAGUCGGACUAAUACCGUAUGUUGUCCAUUGACGGCAUCCGAUUUGGACGAAAGGCUUUGCGGUGAAGGAUGGGGAUGCGUCCGAUUAGCUUGACGGCGGGGUAACGGCCCACCGUGGCUACGAUCGGUAGGGGUUCUGAGAGGAAGGUCCCCCACACUGGAACUGAGACACGGUCCAGACUCCUACGG